rnacentral:rRNA from 1 species
UACGGAGGGUGCAAGCGUUGUUCGGAAUCACUGGGCGUAAAGCGCACGUAGGCGGGCUGUUAAGUCGGGGGUGAAAUCCUGGAGCUCAACUCCAGAACUGCCUUCGAUACUGGCGACCUUGAGUCCGGGAGAGGUGAGUGGAACUCCGAGUGUAGAGGUGAAAUUCGUAGAUAUUCGGAAGAACACCAGUGGCGAAGGCGGCUCACUGGCCCGGUACUGACGCUGAGGUGCGAAAGCGUGGGGAGCAAACAGG